GGGGGGGGGGUGUAGGCACACUGCACCUAUGACACUUUCCUUGAAGGCUAUUCACAUCUAAUCACGUCUCUUCCUCUCCACGUCCUUCUGUCACGUCUCCUUGUAAACAGCGGCCUCCUCGGCGAGACAAAAAGAGGAGGAGCAGCAGCAUAAACCCGCUGAACCUCACUCGUCCCUAUAGAGACACACACACACACACACACACAUCAAUAAAUGAUGGUGUGCACUCUGGAUGCAUAGUCUACAUCGGAUUGCAUUGAAACAUCACAAAACCACCGUCUCUUAGCCGCCACACACUCAUCCCUCAGUGUGUGUGUGUGUGUGUGUGUGUGUGUGUGUGUGUGUGUGGUCGUGCGUGCGUUCAUCUAUAAAGCCACAAACACAACAAUUACAUGAAUAUAUAUAAAGGAACCAAGUAUGUAUGAUUGGGUCACACCUGAGCGUCUCGCUCUGAACCGUCCGUGUCCUCCUCAUAAACGAGGAGCUGAUGCCUGCGCGUUCUCUGCUCGCCGCGACGCUCGCUGACCUUUCGCUGUUCGCCGCCGUGUUUACCGGAGACGAAAGCGACACAUUUCUAACAGAGUCCUUCGCGUUCCACACACUCCCGGCCCGAGGUUGCAAAAAAAAAAAAACGUGUGGCGUCUAGUGUUCCGCCCGAAUAUGUGUCCUUCUGUACUAUCUGUAAGCAUGUUCAGACCGCAGCGUGUUGAUCAGCAAUAAAGCUCCCUCGUCGUGGUCGAGUCAUCGGCGUCUUCGACCCGCAGCUGCGACGCGAUCUGAUUAGCCGCUCGCAUGUCUGUCUGCGUGUGUGUAGUUGCGUGUUUUCCCCCCUUUUUGUCUGGCCAAGGCCAGAUGGCAGGGAAUGUUUAGUCAAAUGGGAUUAGAGAUUAGGAUUAAGUGCACUCCAAAUUACCCAGACGCACAGUCACUGGAUGACACAACUACAGCAGAGAGGCUCUGCAGGUCAGCAGCACACACACUGUGUACGAGGGGAUACAAACAAAAAUACACUAAUGGCAGAUAUCAGUCUCUCCGCACAAAGCUACUUAGCUUAGCAUAGCAAGAGCGUAAACAGAAGGAAAAGGCUGGCACGCCUUCAGUCUACAUCUAAAAAAACACACAUACUUUUAUUUGAGUGUGCGUGGGAAGCCACAGCGGCAGGUUUCCCAUUUCAAACAGGCCCAGUGUGUUGAUUCUUUGUGCUCACUGUCUGGAGCUAACGAGUUCACUCAGUGCGUGAGUGUGUGUGUGUGUGUGUGUGUGUGUGUGUGUGUGUGUGUCCAUAGAUGAUCUACUGCGUCUCGGCGCGUAAAUCCCUAAUUGGCUUUGUGACCGUGGACGCUGCCCUUGUUGCGCGGCCCAAGAGGCCUGAUGUCAGUGUCGUCUCCUUCUAAACGUGGAGUGAUUCAGCAGCGCCUGGAGGUGCCGGGAAGUCCAGAUAAGAACAUUCCACGAUUAGUUGGUGAAGAGAACGUGAGGCUUCGAUAAAAAAAAAAGGAAAAAAAAGGUGCAUCAUUGCACCAGAGACAAUACAAAGAAGGACAGAAAAACAAACCUGGAUCAAAACACAGUGAAAGGUCAUA
ensembl:lncRNA